CACAGUGCUGGCAGGCAAUGAAGUCACCAGAAGUGGUGGCAGUCUCCUCACUCUACCCUCAGCCCCAGAACAGCCUCACUUCAUGUCCUGGAGGACUUGGUCCUGAACUCUACAGGAGGCAGCAUUCCAGCUGAUUUCCACCACGGGGACAGACCAGAGCUCUAGGUCCAAGCCCAGCUCGGCAGCUGCUGGGCCCUGCGAGCAUGAAUAAUAAUGUGAUAACAAAACAGCAGCGCCACAGUAGUCAUAAAGAUGGCAAACGCUUGCUUUCACUGACUGGGUCCAGGCACCGGCUAGGAACAACACAGGGCUGGAGGUCUGAUCUUGAAGAAACCCAGAACUAUGGACCACACUAGAUGACGUGAGAUGCAAUGCCAAGUGCCUACCUUGGCCUGCCCACAAAAUCAACUGCAGGACCACCUGGCCCCCGGAAAUCCCAGGAGCAUGGUAAUACGCUAAAAAAUUCUGGAGAAUCAGGAGUGGUCGCACACACCUGUAAUUCCCAGCACUCAGGAGGCUAAGGUAGGAAGACUUGAGUUUGAGGUCAUCUUGGACUAUAUAGGA